ACCAUCUCUUCCCAAACAGUCCCUAUAUAUAUAAAUCUUCUCUCUUACCGUGGUUGAUUAGAUUGAACUAUGGUUUCAUCAUUGAUCGAACCAUCAUAUUGCGAACGCAUUACUAGUUUAGGUAUGUGUUGUUUAUCCUAAUUUAUUUUGAUCGUUAGGUGUUGAUUUUUCCUAAUUUUUAUUCAUAACUGAGUGUGUGUUGAUUUCGAUUUACAAAAUUUGUAAUGUUUUAUGCAUAGUAUGUCUGUAUUGCUUUAAUUUUUUGGGAUUGUAGUUAAAAGUAAGGUGGGGUGGGUAUAGAGCUUCAUAAAUAAUGUGUAUUUUUUUUUCAUGAUAUUAACUUUGGGUAUUUUUUUAUGAAAAAUGUUUUGUAACUCGAAAGUUUCCCCCCCUCCGAAUCCCCUAACUGCCCAAAACGACGUCGUUUUGGGCAGUUUAUUUUAUUUUAUUUUAUUUUUUUUCUGAAACAGAGAGAGAGAGGGGGAGAAACAGAGGAGAGGAGAGAGGGAGAAAGAGAGAUGAUGAGAGGAGAGAAGGGAAACAGAGAGAGAGAGACGGCGGGUGCGACGGUGGGUGUGGCGAUGGCGGUGCGAGCGACGGUAGAUGUCGAUCGCAGAUCGCAGGUCGUCACUCGUGGUAGGUCGUCGCUCGUGGCAGCUCGUCGACCGAUCGCAGCUCGUCGGUCGAUCGUCUCCGCCCCGCCUCCGCCUCUGCCUCUGCCUCUGCCUCCGCUCGAUUGAUAUUGCCUCCUCCAGUCCUUCUUCUUCUUCUUCCUUCUCUUCUCUCUUCUUCUUCUUCUCUUGAUUUUUGGUUGAUUCGGGGGCUCCAAAUUCGAGCUCCCUAGCACGGCUCUUUUUUUAUUCACAUUUGUUUUUAUAUACUUUAAUUUUUCUGUAUUCAUGGCUUUUAUUACUUUAUUUUUUUGGGAUGUUAGUUAAAGUGAAGUGGGGUGGGGUAUAGAGGUUCAUAAGCAACAGAUAUAUUUUUUUUAUGAUGUUAACUUUGAAUUUUUUUUAUGAUGUUGACUUUUUAUUCAUAUAUUCGGUUCAUAUAUUCUGUUUAUAGUUGUAUUAAUAUAUUUCAUUCAUAUAUUCUGUUUGUGUUUAGAGAUUUUCAAAUUUUUCAUGCAUACCAUGCUUGUAUUGGUGUAAUUUUUUUGAAUUUUUGUGAAGGUGGGGUAUAUUUUGUUGUGGAACCAAGGGGAUUUGAAUUAAAUAUUGAGGAAUUGAAUUAAUAAUUAAAUAUUAAUUAAAUAGUGAUGAUCCUGAUCACAUUGCUGAUGGGAAUGAUGACAGUGGUUCAGAAGAAGAAGACAAUGAAAGUGAUGAACCUGACUGGUUGAAUGAGGAUUUAGAGAGGUCAGAUGCUGAUGAUAUUUUCCCAUUAAGGGAGACUGUAAAGAAAAGAAAGAGGCAACAUUAUUCAUGCGAUCAAGGGGUUGACAAAAGCCUAGGAUUACUAAAGUUGUCCAAAAUUCUCCACAUUUCCCAACUUGGAUGGGGCAACAUAUCUUCAUCUCAAUUAUGGCAGAGAAAAGGGUGGGCCAGUUGGAGGUGGCAGGGUUAUGUCUAGAUCCACAUUGAGAGACAGCUUUGUAACAAGAGGUAGAGGAGAAGGUGGGUCAAGCUAUAACUCAGAGGCAAACUGACAAAGGCAAAGCUAAAGCAUGAUGGAUUAGGCAUUUGUUUUUGUGUUUUGAGUUAGCUUUUGUUGUGUUUUAAUCUUGUUAAAUCAUUAAGUGGGUUGUACCAAUUUGUUUUUGAAGUUGCGACUGGCCAGUAAACAAUAGUGUCUUAGUUUAGUGUGUUUUGAGAAAGCCCAGUGGGUAGUACACAAUUUUUGCUUUAUGGCUUGUUGAUUUAUUAUUUGGCAUGAAGCACUAUGUUUGCUUUAUGGUUUGUAUUAAAAAAUUGUGGUUUGUAUUAAACUAGGUCUAUGUUGAAUAAUGGCUUGUAUUAAACUAAUGUGAGUUGAAUUAUACAAUUGUGAA